GGGUUGUGAGGUUAAGCGACUAAGCGUACACGGUGGAUGCCCUGGCAGUCAGAGGCGAUGAAGGACGUGCUAAUCUGCGAUAAGCGUCGGUAAGGUGAUAUGAACCGUUAUAACCGGCGAUUUCCGAAUGGGGAAACCCAGUGUGUUUCGACACACUAUCAUUAACUGAAUCCAUAGGUUAAUGAGGCGAACCGGGGGAACUGAAACAUCUAAGUACCCCGAGGAAAAGAAAUCAACCGAGAUUCCCCCAGUAGCGGCGAGCGAACGGGGAGCAGCCCAGAGCCUGAAUCAGUGUGUGUGUUAGUGGAAGCGUCUGGAAAGGCGCGCGAUACAGGGUGACAGCCCCGUACACAAAAAUGCACAUGCUGUGAGCUCGAUGAGUAGGGCGGGACACGUGGUAUCCUGUCUGAAUAUGGGGGGACCAUCCUCCAAGGCUAAAUACUCCUGACUGACCGAUAGUGAACCAGUACCGUGAGGGAAAGGCGAAAAGAACCCCGGCGAGGGGAGUGAAAAAGAACCUGAAACCGUGUACGUACAAGCAGUGGGAGCACGCUUAGGCGUGUGACUGCGUACCUUUUGUAUAAUGGGUCAGCGACUUAUAUUCUGUAGCAAGGUUAACCGAAUAGGGGAGCCGAAGGGAAACCGAGUCUUAACUGGGCGUUAAGUUGCAGGGUAUAGACCCGAAACCCGGUGAUCUAGCCAUGGGCAGGUUGAAGGUUGGGUAACACUAACUGGAGGACCGAACCGACUAAUGUUGAAAAAUUAGCGGAUGACUUGUGGCUGGGGGUGAAAGGCCAAUCAAACCGGGAGAUAGCUGGUUCUCCCCGAAAGCUAUUUAGGUAGCGCCUCGUGAAUUCAUCUCCGGGGGUAGAGCACUGUUUCGGCAAGGGGGUCAUCCCGACUUACCAACCCGAUGCAAACUGCGAAUACCGGAGAAUGUUAUCACGGGAGACACACGGCGGGUGCUAACGUCCGUCGUGAAGAGGGAAACAACCCAGACCGCCAGCUAAGGUCCCAAAGUCAUGGUUAAGUGGGAAACGAUGUGGGAAGGCCCAGACAGCCAGGAUGUUGGCUUAGAAGCAGCCAUCAUUUAAAGAAAGCGUAAUAGCUCACUGGUCGAGUCGGCCUGCGCGGAAGAUGUAACGGGGCUAAACCAUGCACCGAAGCUGCGGCAGCGACGCUUAUGCGUUGUUGGGUAGGGGAGCGUUCUGUAAGCCUGUGAAGGUGUGUUGUGAGGCAUGCUGGAGGUAUCAGAAGUGCGAAUGCUGACAUAAGUAACGAUAAAGCGGGUGAAAAGCCCGCUCGCCGGAAGACCAAGGGUUCCUGUCCAACGUUAAUCGGGGCAGGGUGAGUCGACCCCUAAGGCGAGGCCGAAAGGCGUAGUCGAUGGGAAACAGGUUAAUAUUCCUGUACUUGGUGUUACUGCGAAGGGGGGACGGAGAAGGCUAUGUUGGCCGGGCGACGGUUGUCCCGGUUUAAGCGUGUAGGCUGGUUUUCCAGGCAAAUCCGGAAAAUCAAGGCUGAGGCGUGAUGACGAGGCACUACGGUGCUGAAGCAACAAAUGCCCUGCUUCCAGGAAAAGCCUCUAAGCAUCAGGUAACAUCAAAUCGUACCCCAAACCGACACAGGUGGUCAGGUAGAGAAUACCAAGGCGCUUGAGAGAACUCGGGUGAAGGAACUAGGCAAAAUGGUGCCGUAACUUCGGGAGAAGGCACGCUGAUAUGUAGGUGAAGUCCCUUGCGGAUGGAGCUGAAAUCAGUCGAAGAUACCAGCUGGCUGCAACUGUUUAUUAAAAACACAGCACUGUGCAAACACGAAAGUGGACGUAUACGGUGUGACGCCUGCCCGGUGCCGGAAGGUUAAUUGAUGGGGUCAGCGCAAGCGAAGCUCUUGAUCGAAGCCCCGGUAAACGGCGGCCGUAACUAUAACGGUCCUAAGGUAGCGAAAUUCCUUGUCGGGUAAGUUCCGACCUGCACGAAUGGCGUAAUGAUGGCCAGGCUGUCUCCACCCGAGACUCAGUGAAAUUGAACUCGCUGUGAAGAUGCAGUGUACCCGCGGCAAGACGGAAAGACCCCGUGAACCUUUACUAUAGCUUGACACUGAACAUUGAGCCUUGAUGUGUAGGAUAGGUGGGAGGCUUAGAAGUGUGGACGCCAGUCUGCAUGGAGCCGACCUUGAAAUACCACCCUUUAAUGUUUGAUGUUCUAACGUUGACCCGUAAUCCGGGUUGCGGACAGUGUCUGGUGGGUAGUUUGACUGGGGCGGUCUCCUCCUAAAGAGUAACGGAGGAGCACGAAGGUUGGCUAAUCCUGGUCGGACAUCAGGAGGUUAGUGCAAUGGCAUAAGCCAGCUUGACUGCGAGCGUGACGGCGCGAGCAGGUGCGAAAGCAGGUCAUAGUGAUCCGGUGGUUCUGAAUGGAAGGGCCAUCGCUCAACGGAUAAAAGGUACUCCGGGGAUAACAGGCUGAUACCGCCCAAGAGUUCAUAUCGACGGCGGUGUUUGGCACCUCGAUGUCGGCUCAUCACAUCCUGGGGCUGAAGUAGGUCCCAAGGGUAUGGCUGUUCGCCAUUUAAAGUGGUACGCGAGCUGGGUUUAGAACGUCGUGAGACAGUUCGGUCCCUAUCUGCCGUGGGCGCUGGAGAACUGAGGGGGGCUGCUCCUAGUACGAGAGGACCGGAGUGGACGCAUCACUGGUGUUCGGGUUGUCAUGCCAAUGGCACUGCCCGGUAGCUAAAUGCGGAAGAGAUAAGUGCUGAAAGCAUCUAAGCACGAAACUUGCCCCGAGAUGAGUUCUCCCUGACUCCUUGAGAGUCCUGAAGGAACGUUGAAGACGACGACGUUGAUAGGCCGGGUGUGUAAGCGCAGCGAUGCGUUGAGCUAACCGGUACUAAUGAACCGUGAGGCUUAACCUUACAACGCCGAAG
rnacentral:rRNA from 1 species